CAGAAAUACAACGAUUUGCACGUUCAAGAAGUGCAUCAAAUGACUUUUUUAUGUUGCUGAUUGGAAUGAUGUUGAGAUUGCUCUCCGUUGACCGUUGAAUGUCUUCAAUUGAUGCAAAACGGUUUCCUUUUAUCACCAAAUGCAGAUUAGAGAAUAGAAAAUAGUCACAGGAUGCUAAAUCGGGUGAACACGGGGAAUGUUGAAGCAAUAAAAUUUGAUUUUUGGUCAAAAAGUCAGUGACAAUUGACAAACGAUGAGAAGGUGCAACAAUCACCAACUUCGACCGAGGUUAUUAAGGAAGCUUGACACUUCUUAACUCAAUCUCCCUCUAACAGAAGGUGCCACUAAUUUUGUCGAAAUAGAACCAUUCCGGUUAUUUUUGGGAUACAGGAUGUAUAUACACAUAUACAUAUAUAUCUUUUAAAGCUGAAUGAGUCAACGAGAAAUGGGGGAGAAGAUAAAUGUGAUGUAAUGGCGGCGGCUGUUGGAGAAAGGGAGAUGCAAUGAAGAGUGAUGGAUGAAUUAAGGACGGACAUCGAUACCUUACGUUCAGCGAACAUCCGCCGGCAGACAGAAAAUUUGCAAGAAACACAUGAACAAGAUGUGUUUCAUAAUCAUCAGAAUAACAAAGAGAAAGUUAUUGAAAAAAUUCAGUACAUACAAGUUGAAGAAUUAUUAACAGACAAUUUAUCUGAUUUAAAUUGUAAUAUGGAAAUAUGUUUUCAACAUGAAAGUGAAAAGAUAAAAUACUAACAUUUGCUGAAGUAGCUGAAGUACCCAAACAAAAGCAAAAAUAUAUUGUACAGAAUCUAAUAGAUACCAUCUAGUAGAUACCAAGAAUUACACAAUAAGAUAUUUGACACAAUAUUGGAGCAAAAGAAAACGGUAAAUGAUAACGUUGGACGACAGAAUGAUUAUGAAAAGAAAAAUAGAGCGUCGACGUCAAGAUGUAUAGAUCAAGCGUUAAAAAAUAAUAAUUCUGGUGACAAUACAUACGGUUUAGAAUACAUUUUGAAAGAUGCAAUUAAAGGAAAUAUCAUAUUAUCUACAUAUGCAUUUCAAGAAAAAUUAGACGAAAAGAUUAGAAAUAUAUUGGCAGAUAUUAUUGUGCAUUAUGAAUUAAAAGAUAACUUGGAUGCUUGAAUUACUUCUGAACGUGUUCUGAACGAGUUUUAUUGCAGACAAAAUAAUUGAACUAUUUCCUAAAGAAGAUAAAGAGGGACUGUAAGGAGGUGUUCAAGAGGUGUCCAGUACAUUUCUUCGAGUUUUUCCGGACAUUUCUCUGCCUCAGUGAGGAGAUGUGGGACCUACCUCGCUGACACCUUAUGGUAUCCAAGAUAUUCUGAGAGAAUUGUGUGAACAUUCUCAAUACUUAUGCCCACCUCCGAUGGGAUUUCGACAACAGUUAAGCGCCGGUCAUCUUCCACAAGUUCGCGAACGGCCCGAAUGUUCUCAUUAGUGACAUUUGUCCUCUUUCAAGCUAACAUUGCAACCAAGGUUGUUAUAAUAGGCUCAUUAGAAAUAUAUAUAAAGCGCAGUUUUGUCAUUGUCGACAAUCAGCAUUAUAAAGUUGAAAUUCCUAUAAAAGCUAUUGACAUAGCGCUCAAAUGUAUUCAUAGUCUACAGGUUGAAUAUCCUAAAGAAUGUGAACAACGAAACUUUUUUCUACAAACAUGUAUUUAUGGUAUUCAUACAAAGUACGAUAAAAAAUUUAGUGCAGCACUUUGAUCAAAGAAUAUGAACAUUUUUUCUUUCUGCGAGUAUUAUUUUUCAGUUCUUCCUUUCUCCAGGUUUAAGUUAUAAAAUAGUGUUUAUAAUCUUUAUGAAGCAUCGU